rfam:Triticum urartu cultivar G1812 contig494095, whole genome shotgun sequence.
AAUAUACUCCCUCCGUUCCAAAUUACUCGUCGCAGAAAUGGAUGUAUCUAGAACUAAAAUACAUCUAGAUACAUCCAUACCUACGACAAGUAAUUCGGAACGGAGGGAGUAUUUA